GACGAACGCUGGCGGCGUGCCUAAUACAUGCAAGUCGAACGCAGUGGGGACGGGUGAGUAACACGUGGGUAACCUCCCAUCAGAGGGGAUAACCCUUGGAUACAGGUGCUAAACCGCUACUGGUGUAUCUACCCGCGGUGCAUUAGCUAGGUGGUGAGGUAACGGCUCACCAAGGCCACGAUGCAUAGCCGGCCUGAGAGGGUGAGCGGCCACACUGGGACUGAGACACGGCCCAGAAUCCGACGGGAGGCAGCAGUAGGGAAUCUUCGGCAAUGGACGAAAGUCUGAUCGAGCAACGCCGCGGGAGUGAAGAAGGUUUUCGGAUCGUAAAACUCUGUUGUUAGAGAAGCGUUAUCUAAACAGAAAGCCACGGCUAACUACGUGCCAGCAGCCGCGGUAAUUC
rnacentral:rRNA from 1 species